AUUGAACGCUGGCGGCAGGCCUAAUACAUGCAAGUCGAGCGAGCGGCGGACGGGUGAGUAAUGUAUGGGGAUCGGCUCGAUGGAGGGGGAUAACUACUGGAAACGGUGGCUAAUACCGCAUACUAUCGGAUGAACCCAUAUGGGAUUAGCUAGUAGGGGGGGUAAAGGCACACCUAGGCGACGAUCUCUAGCUGGUCUGAGAGGAUGAGCAGCCAAAUGGGGACUGGGACACGCCCCAAACUCCUACGGAAGGCAGCAGUGGGGAAUAUUGCACAAUGGGCGCAAGCCGUAUGCAGCCAUGCCGGGUGUAUGAAGAAGGCCUUAGGGUUGUAAAGUACUUUCAGCGGGGAGGCGUUACCCGCAGAAGAAGCACCGGCUAACUCCGUGCCAGCAGCCGCGGUAAUAC
rnacentral:rRNA from 1 species